rnacentral:rRNA from 1 species
AUUGAACGCUGGCGGCAUGCCUUACACAUGCAAGUCGAACGGUAACAGGUCUUCGGAUGCUGACGAGUGGCGAACGGGUGAGUAAUACAUCGGAACGUGCCCGAUCGUGGGGGAUAACGGAGCGAAAGCUUUGCUAAUACCGCAUACGAUCUACGGAUGAAAGCAGGGGACCGCAAGGCCUUGCGCGGACGGAGCGGCCGAUGGCAGAUUAGGUAGUUGGUGGGAUAAAAGCUUACCAAGCCGACGAUCUGUAGCUGGUCUGAGAGGACGACCAGCCACACUGGGACUGAGACACGGCCCAGACUCCUACGGGAGGCAGCAGUGGGGAAUUUUGGACAAUGGGCGAAAGCCUGAUCCAGCCAUGCCGCGUGCAGGAUGAAGGCCUUCGGGUUGUAAACUGCUUUUGUACGGAACGAAAAGACUCCUUCUAAUAAAGGGGGUCCAUGACGGUACCGUAAGAAUAAGCACCGGCUAACUACGUGCCAGCCGCCGCCGUAAGAC